GUAGAGUGUGAGACUGAGACAAAUGGAUGAGGUUGAGAAGUUUUGUCGUGUUGUGCUUUGCUUCCCUUCCUGGGACAAAGCCCGCUUGGUCUGUGUGUAUGAGGUUGGAUAGUAGGGGGCGUAAUCGAUUUGCUAGAAUUUUAGUGAAAAUUUUUAGGUCUACGUUGAUCAGUGAUAUUGGGCGAUAACUUCCACAGUUUGUGGGGUCCUUUCCUGGCUUUGGCAAUAACGUAAUAUGGGCCUCUAGAGCAGGAGUCUGUAGGGCUGGGGUGUCGGUGAGGAAAUUAAAGGCGUCUAGAAAGGGAUCUGCCAGUAUGUCUCUGAAUGUUUUGAAGUAUUUGGCCGUGUAACCGUCAGGGCCCGGGCUUUUCCGCAGGGGCAACGAGCUCACUACUUUAAGGAAUUCGUCUCUCGUCAAGGGGCUGUCUAGGGAUUGCAGUGCUUCACUGGGGAUUUUUUUAUGCACCCUGGGAGUCAGGAAGCGUUCAAUGUCUGUUGCCAGCGGGGGGGAGCUCCUGAGGUUAUAUAGUUCUGAGUAGAACUUGUGGAAGGCUUCCAUAAUAUCUGGUAGGGUGUGUGAUAUGCCCUUUUCCGGGUGUUUA